rnacentral:lncRNA from 1 species
ACUGUUUAAAUCGGAUAAACUUAAUAUGGGUCAUCUACUGGUUUAACAUCUUGCUCGAUUUUCUCAACAUUGUUUUUUACACAUACAUAACAUGAUAUAGUUAGUAGUAUCCUAUUAAUAUAAAAAAUCAUCAAUAAAUUUAUAAUUUCAUUAUUAUUUUAUUCUAAAAUAAGAUUAGUAUAAAAAUAAAUAUUAUUUAACUCUAAAAUAACUACAAACAAUAUGUU